CCAUCCUCCAAGGCUAAAUACUCCUGACUGACCGAUAGUGAACCAGUACCGUGAGGGAAAGGCGAAAAGAACCCCGGGAGGGGAGUGAAAAAGAACCUGAAACCGUGUACGUACAAGCAGUGGGAGCCCCACCACCAAAGCAUUCUCUGGUGUUGAAGGCCCUGCAAAGCAGCAUCGCGGUGGCGGAGCGUCGUUUGCGACGCCCAACACACAAAACAAGCGGUGAAUGCUUUGGGGUGGGGUGACUGCGUACCUUUUGUAUAAUGGGUCAGCGACUUAUAUUCUGUAGCAAGGUUAACCGAAUAGGGGAGC
rnacentral:rRNA from 1 species